CCCUGGUAGCACAGGAUAUCCUGGAGGUGCUGGAACCCCUGGAGGUGCUGGAAUUCCUGGUAGCACUGGAUAUCCUGGAAGUGCUGGAACCCUGGAGGUGCUGGAACCCCUGGAGGUGCUGGAACCCCUGGAGGUGCUGGAAUUCCUGGUAGCACUGGAUAUCCUGGAGGUGCUGCUGGAACCCCCGGAGGUG
rnacentral:misc_RNA from 1 species